rnacentral:rRNA from 1 species
UACGUAGGUCCCGAGCGUUGUCCGGAUUUAUUGGGCGUAAAGCGAGCGCAGGUGGUUUAUUAAGUCUGGUGUAAAAGGCAGUGGCUCAACCAUUGUAUGCAUUGGAAACUGGUAGACUUGAGUGCAGGAGAGGAGAGUGGAAUUCCAUGUGUAGCGGUGAAAUGCGUAGAUAUAUGGAGGAACACCGGUGGCGAAAGCGGCUCUCUGGCCUGCAACUGACACUGAGGCUCGAAAGUGUGGGUAUCAAACAGG